UUUAUUUUUCUAAACUUACUGAUCACUCUAAUUCAUCUACCGGCUAUCAACUGUGAACCAAAUACGCCCUUGGUGGAGAGUAUAGUAGUUCACAAUCUCUAGGAGCCACUGGUAGUGGCAAGAAAAAUUUCGCCAUGGCUACAGGACGAGGAGAAGGAAGAGUAGCGGCAAGCUCGUCAAUCCUGUCACCGAUCAAAGCCUACGCUGUGCCUCUCUUUCUCUUCGCCCUCGCUAUUUUCUAUCAGCUCUUUGUCCUUCCUCGCUUUUUUCCUCCUUCGCACUACGAUGUUUUGGGGAUUGAAAGGCAUAGUUCCAUUGAAGAAGUUAAAGAUGCUUAUGAAAAGCUUUCUUCCAAGUGGAAUUCUGGCAUCGAGGUUCCUAGUGCUGUUGAUUUUAUAGAGAUUCAAUAUGCUUACGAAUUGUUGACAAAUUCUUUAUGGAAAAGGGACUAUAACAUAUUUGGCAUUGAUGAGCAACUUCAUGUUCUUGACAAGUUCAAAGAGCAAUACGCUGGGGAAAGCUUUUCACACGUAGGACUUCCCUUACUAGAGGCUACAUCUUCUGAUUCUGGAGAUCAUGAUCUAACUGUCAUUACAUCCAAGGACUUUGGAUCUAUGUUUAGUAAUUCUAAGCCUUGGGCUUUUGAAACUUGGUUGCAGGUAUAUUCACGUGGGAGCAGCCGCUGUGUUCAAUUCUUCAAUUCUUGGAAAAAGAUCUCUUCUUUAUUGGAAGGGGUUGCAAACACUGGUAUGGUGGAACUUGGCGAUGUUCAACUUGCAGCAUCCCUUGCUGAGAGAAUGCCAACAGGACAUUUCUUCUUUAGGAAUGGGCUUCCUUCACUUGUUGCUUUUCCACCAGGGUGUAAAAUUUCAGAUUGUCUUAUUAAGUAUGACGGAGAUCUCUCCAUCGACGCAGUUACUGAUUGGUUUGCAACUGUCGUACUUGGUUUACCUCGGAUUUUGUGUCAUUCCAAAGAGACACUGGGAAAGCAUCUACUGGCAGAAAGUGGUCCACACAAGGUAAAAGUCAUUUUCUUCUCAAAUACAGGAGUGGGUGCUACUCCAUUUGUACGUCAAACUGCAAAAGAUUAUUGGGCUUAUGCCUCUUUUGCAUAUGUGCUAUGGCGAGAGGAGGAUUUCUCCUUUUGGUGGAAUGCGUUUGAGGUGGAAUCUGCCCCUGCAAUUGUAUUCAUGAAAGAUCCAGGUGUUAACCCUGUCGUUUUCCAUGGAUCAUUCAACACUUCAUAGUUUGCAGAUGUCAUGGAAAAAAAUAAACAGCAAGAACUUCCACAGUUAAGAAGUGUGACUUCAAUGGAGAUUGGUUGUGAUGCCUGAGGCUAUUGUCGUGCUGGAGUUGAUACCAUGUCAUGGUAUUGUGUUAUUCUAGCAGGAAGGCGGGGCCCAGAACUCAAGAAGAUGCGUGAAACCAUGCGCAGGGUACAACAACUAUUAUCAAAUGAUGGAGAGUUGAGUGAUGUUGAUGAAGAUCAAUCCUUAUUAUUGGCAAGUGCACUGCAAAACAAACAACUGACAUUUGCUUGGCUUGAUGGAGAAGCCCAACAAAAAUAUUGUUUCUUCUACCUUCAUUCAGAAACCAGCUAUGAUACCUGUAGACCAAGGAGGGAUCUGACUGAUGUACCUAGGUUAUUUAUUGUACAUUACAAAAGGAAUGCUACUCAAGAUAAUGUCAAUGUUAGGAAAAAUGAAUUUGAACAUGAGGAUGCAGAUCCUGCGUCACAACUUGUGGCAAGGUACAAUAGUACAAGGACUUCAUAGUGUUUUUUUUUUUUUUUUAAGGAAACUAUGAUGGAUGGUGAAGCCAGGGAUCUCCCCUUCUUCAAAGCAAAAACUCCUGAUGUUGUUCCCGAAGACUCUGAUCCUAUCUGGUCAAAAGGUGCCCAAAGUAUUUAGAUCCAAAAGUGUGGGAAUCAAGCACAUGAUCCUCAAAAACAUAGGGAAAACUUAUGAUCACAUGGGAGAUCCAAGAAUCGGUCCAAUAUUACUUUUGGGAGCUUUAAUGUCAUUUGGAACUAUAUGGCUGAUGAGGAAUCAACCAACUCAUCAGAGUCAGUCAAGUCAAUCAAAUGUGAAGGAUGAAACUAUGCGAAAACAGAGAGAGAGAAGAAGAAAUGCCUCCAAUAGGUAUAUAUCUCCUUCCAUAACAGAUAUGGAACCAAAAGAUGCUUGCCAGACGCCGAUGUCAGAUUCUGAUCGUGAUUAGUUGGUACUGGCUUGGUUUGGGAAGUCAGCUACUUUUGAAGCCUGUAGUGACUGCAAAUAGCGGUUAUAAAAAUUGAAAAUUGACUUUGUUAGCCACACGGCUAGGUUGAAUAGUUUGAAUACUUAAACUGGGCAUAGGUCUUUUAGCGCUGGUUUGGGGUGAAGAUGAUUGAUUAUUCCUCACUGCUUACCAUGUAUUUAUGAUCUACCUAUUUGAGAAGGAACGAUCCUAAUGGCAAUAGUCAUCCAAUUUUUCACAGUAA